rnacentral:rRNA from 1 species
AUUGAACGCUGGCGGCAGGCCUAACACAUGCAAGUCGAACGAGUGGCGGACGGGUGAGUACUGUCUGGGAAACUGCCCGAUGGCGGGGGAUAACUACUGGAAACGGUAGCUAAUACACCAUACCCUCGGAUGUGCCCCGAGGGGAUUGGCUAGUAGGUGGGGUAAAGGCUACCCUAGGGGACGAUCCCUAGCUGGUCUGAGAGGUUGACUCGCCAACCUGGAACUGAGACACGGUCCAGACUCCUACGGGAGGCAGCAGUGGGGAAUAUUGAAAAAUGGGCGCAAGCCUGCUGCAGCCAUGCCGCGUGUAGGAAGAAGGCCUUCGGGUUGUAAAGUACUUUCAGCGAGGAGGCGUUACUCGCAGAAGAAGCACCGGCUAACUCCGUGCCAGCAGCCGCGGUAAUUC